rnacentral:rRNA from 1 species
CCUACGGGCGGCAGCAGUAGGGAAUCUUCCACAAUGGGCGGAAGCCUGAUGGAGCAACGCCGCGUGGGUGAAGAAGGUCUUCGGAUCGUAAAACCCUUUUGUUAAAGAAGCAAGUGCGUGAGAGUAACUGUUCACGUUUCGACCUUAUCUAACCAGAAAGCCACGGCUAACUACAUGCCAGCCGCCGCGGUAAUACGUAGGUGGCAAGCGUUAUCCGGAUUUGUUGGGGGUAAAGGGAACGCAGGCGGUCUUUUAAGUCUGAUGUGAAAGCCCUCGGCUUAACCGCCGUAGUGCAGUGGAAACUGGGAGACUUGAGUGCAGAAGAGGAGAGUGGAACGCCAUGUGUAGCGGUGAAAUGCGUAGAUAUAUGGCAGAACUCCAGUGGCGAAGGCGGCUCUCUGG